rnacentral:rRNA from 1 species
ACGGAAGGCAGCAGUCGGGAAUUUUGCGCGAUGGAGGAAACUCUGACGCAGUGACGCCGCGUGCAGGAAGAAGGUUUUCGGAUUGUAAACUGCUUUAGACAGGGAAGAAAAAGGACAGUACCUGUAGAAUAAGCUCCGGCUAACUACGUGCCAGCAGCCGCGGUAAUACGUAGGGAGCAAGCGUUAUCCGGAUUUAUUGGGUGUAAAGGGUGCGUAGAUGGGAAUGCAAGUUAGUUGUGAAAUCCCUCGGCUUAACCGAGGAACUGCAACUAAAACUAUAUUUCUUGAGUACUGGAGAGGAAAGUGGAAUUCCUAGUGUAGCGGUGAAAUGCGUAGAUAUUAGGAGGAACACCAGUGGCGAAGGCGACUUUCUGGACAGUAACUGACAUUGAGGCACGAAAGUGUGGGGAGCAAACAGGAUUAGAUACCCUGGUA